CUUCGAAAAAUAGCCGGUGGAUGUGGAGCUGCGGCGGGGGAAGCGCAGGCAUGUUUCGAUCACUUAAGAAGAAUAAACUUGUGAAACUCAGACGCCGCGGUGAAAGUACAAAGUAUGGAGUCGCGGCUGCAAAUGUGAAAGAACUUCUCAGAAAAGGCUGCAGUAUUUUAAAGGUACCACUGAAGGGAUCUCGGGUUUGCCUGUAUGAAGAUGGAACCGAAGUUGGUGAUGAUUACUUCAGAAUGCUUCCGGACAACGUUGAACUCGUUCUGUUGCCUGAAGGACAGAGCUGGGAUGGAUUUGCGUCUGAUAUUAGCCUUCUGCUUGGCUCCACGAACCGUCAUUACGACCUUUUAAUCAAAUCUGCCAAGAACCUUCUCACCGAUGAACAGUCUCAGAGAAAGAGGAAAAUCCUAAGUGAUCUACUUCAGAAUCUAGAGGACAACUCCGAAAGUGAAAAAAGGGAAGAGGACAGCGACUGGUUCCAGGGAAUUGACACUAGAUUUAAGACCAAGUCUGAUUACAUGAAAUACAACUGUGAAAGCAGAAUUCGAGGAUAUUUGAAAGAGGUGGAUGGAUAUGCUUCGAACAUUCAGAGUUCCAGGGUUCGGACCGAAUACAAGAAAAUCGUCACCAGUAUGCUUGAGAAACUGAAAGCCACCAAGUACAACGGCUGCUAUUUCGACAGACGAGAGGGGGCUGACUGCAUGUGCUCCGGGGAAGGCUGGUUUUCUUGUCAGGUGAGUAGCUCACUAGGGUUGGCCUGCACCAUAAAAAUUAGUGCUUUGUUUAUUUUCUUUUCUGGUCUGGUAGUCAGGGAAAAAGUAUCAGUGCACAUGUAUAGUAACCCAUAUAUAAGGAGAACCAUCUCGCAUUGCUUUAUUUGCACCGAGGAAAGUCCAACAUGGACUGAAACGUUUGUACUUUUGCACUCUAUGCACUUUGUACAGCCCUAUAAAAUAACGAAUAGAAAUAUGUUACAUUCAGACUCUGGUCUCAAUUGUUUUUUGUUCUCUGUGUAGGAGCCCUUCCUCGCUACAUUGUUUCUUGUCAGGUGAAAACGUGAUUUUGCACUCGGUGAACGAACGCAUGGCAGAAUAAUACAGCAUCACGUCACUUGUGAGUUUACAUGGUGGCUUGGCAGGUGCUGUGAUUCUGCAUGCGUCGGUUGGCUUUUACAUUAGAAUUAUUUAUAUGGCUGAUUCUGUUGAGCGCAGCAGAUUACAGAUAGUACUUUUCCUGACGGCCCCCACCUUGGUGUGCCCUACUGCGGCACUGGGCCCUUGCUGUGAUGCAUAGGCCCCCUGUGGUGAGGAUGACCUGAGAACCCAAGCUGGCUUGAGCUUCACUGAGUGGUCUAGACAGCAGGGUUCCUCUAUCAUUCGUUGCUUUAUUACAAUGUCUGCUGCGCGCUGUAGCUCUCGCUGUGGAAUUGAACUGCGCACACCGAGGGCUAACCCUCACCCCUGCUGUGAUAGAAUCAACGCCACAACCUGAAAUUUGCCAUUCCAGCCUGCUCUACAAAAGGCUGCUGGAAAGUGCUAUCGCUACAAUGGUUAAUGUCAGUGAAUUCACAUGAAAUGACAUGUAUAAGAACCUGCUUCUUCACACAGGGUGCUUUUGAUCAGGACAGCUGCUCAUCCCUCCACUCUAUUAAUCCAUACGGGAACAGAGAGAGCAGAAUCCUCUUCAGCACCUGGAACCUCGACCACAUAUUGCUGUUCACGUGCGAGAACUUGAAACUGGUACAUAUCGUCUGCCACAAGAAGACCGUUCAUGACCUGACAUGCGACAGUGCAAAAAUAUACAAGGUGAAGAAAAGGAAAUAACUGCGACAUGAAUUUUUUUUUUUUCCCUCCUCGCUUCAAGGACGUAACUGAAAAAUCAUCAUAAACAAGAUCCAUCCAUCUUUUAACCAAUUAUCAUUGUCACAAAGGUGCCCGAAGACAAUUCAGGCAAGACAAUGCUGGGAUUUACCCGGAAUGGCAGGCCACUUCAGUGCAAAGCACUAAUUCGUCAUACAGUGUGAGAA